CGGGACGCUCCAGCAGUGGGGAAUAUUGGACAAUGGGGGAAACCCUGAUCCAGCAAUGCCGCGUGUGUGAAGAAGGCCUGCGGGUUGUAAAGCACUUUCGGUUGGGAGGACUGCUUCUAGCACUAAUAUUGUUGGAAGUUGACGUUACCUUCAGAAGAAGCACCGGCUAACUCCGUGCCAGCAGCCGCGGUAAUACGGAGGGUGCAAGCGUUAAUCGGAAUUACUGGGCGUAAAGCGCGCGUAGGCGGCGAGAUCAGUCGGGUGUGAAAGCCCCGGGCUUAACCUGGGAACUGCAUCCGAUACUGUCUAGCUUGAGUACAGGAGAGGAGAGUGGAAUUCCACAUGUAGCGGUGAAAUGCGUAGAUAUGUGGAGGAACACCAAUGGCGAAGGCAGCUCUCUGGCCUGAUACUGACGCUGAGGUGCGAAAGCGUGGGGAGCUAACAGGAUUAGAUACCCGCGUAGUC
rnacentral:rRNA from 1 species